UAAUACGGAAGGUCCGGGCGUUAUCCGGAUUUAUUGGGUUUAAAGGGAGCGUAGGCCGGAGAUUAAGCGUGUUGUGAAAUGUAGUGGCUCAACCUCUGCACUGCAGCGCGAACUGGUCUUCUUGAGUACGCACAACGUGGGCGGAAUUCGUGGUGUAGCGGUGAAAUGCUUAGAUAUCACGAAGAACUCCGAUUGCGAAGGCAGCUCACGGGAGCGCAACUGACGCUGAAGCUCGAAAGUGCGGGUAUCGAACAGGAUUAGAUACCCUGGUAGUCCGCACGGUAAACGAUGGAUGCCCGCUGUUGGCCUGAAUAGGUCAGCGGCCAAGCGAAAGCAUUAAGCAUCCCACCUGGGGAGUACGCCGGCAACGGUGAAACUCAAAGGAAUUGACGGGGGCCCGCACAAGCGGUGGAGCAUGUGGUUUAAUUCGAAGCAACGCGAAGAACCUUACCAGGUCUUGACAUCGAUCUAAAAGGGAUGGAGACAUCCUCAUAGCUAUAGAGAAGACAGGUGGUGCAUGGUUGUCGUCAGCUCGUGUCGUGAGAUGUUGGGUUAAGUCCCGCAACGAGCGCAACCCUUAUUGUUAGUUGCCAUCAUUCAGUUGGGCACUCUAGCGAGACUGCCGGUAAUAAACCGGAGGAAGGUGGGGAUGACGUCAAAUCAUCAUGCCCCUUAUGACCUGGGCUACACACGUGCUACAAUGGUUGGUACAACGAGUCGCAAGUCGGUGACGGCAAGCAAAUCUCUUAAAGCCAAUCUCAGUUCGGAUUGUAGGCUGCAACUCGCCUACAUGAAGUCGGAAUCGCUAGUAA
rnacentral:rRNA from 1 species